UAGCGGCGGACGGGUGAGUAACACGUGGGUAACCUGCCCAUAAGACUGGGAUAACUCCGGGAAACCGGGGCUAAUACCGGAUAACAUUUUGAACCGCAUGGUUCGAAAUUGAAAGGCGGCUUCGGCUGUCACUUAUGGAUGGACCCGCGUCGCAUUAGCUAGUUGGUGAGGUAACGGCUCACCAAGGCAACGAUGCGUAACCGACCUGAGAGGGUGAUCGGCCACACUGGGACUGAAACACGGCCCAGACUCCUACGGGAGGCAGCAGUAGGGAAUCUUCCGCAAUGGACGAAAGUCUGACGGAGCAACGCCGCGUGAGUGAUGAAGGCUUUCGGGUCGUAAAACUCUGUUGUUAGGGAAGAACAAGUGCUAGUUGAAUAAGCUGGCACCUUGACGGUACCUAACCAGAAAGCCACGGCUAACUACGUGCCAGCAGCCGCGGUAAUACGUAGGUGGCAAGCGUUAUCCGGAAUUAUUGGGCGUAAAGCGCGCGCAGGUGGUUUCUUAAGUCUGAUGUGAGAGCCCACGGCUCAACCGUGGAGGGUCAUUGG
rnacentral:rRNA from 1 species